rnacentral:rRNA from 1 species
AGAGUUCGAUCCUGGCUCAGGACGAACGCUGGCGGCGUGCUUAACACAUGCAAGUCGAACGAGAAUCUGCGGAAAGAGGAUUCGUCCAAUUGAAGCAGAGGACAGUGGCGGACGGGUGAGUAACGCGUAAGGAACCUGCCUUUCAGAGGGGGACAACAGUCGGAAACGACUGCUAAUACCGCAUGACACAUUGGGGUCGCAUGGCCCCGAUGUCAAAGAUCUAUCGCUGAAAGAUGGCCUCGCGUCUGAUUAGCUAGUUGGUGAGGUAACGGCCCACCAAGGCGACGAUCAGUAGCCGGACUGAGAGGUUGAACGGCCACAUUGGGACUGAGAUACGGCCCAG